GUGGGGAAUAUUGGACAAUGGGGGGAACCCUGAUCCAGCCAUGCCGCGUGUGUGAAGAAGGCCUUUUGGUUGUAAAGCACUUUAAGCGAGGAGGAGGCUACCGAGAUUAAUACUCUUGGAUAGUGGACGUUACUCGCAGAAUAAGCACCGGCUAACUCUGGUCCAGCAUCCGCGGUAAUACAGAGGGUGCAAGCGUUAAUCGGAUUUACUGGUCGUAAAGCGCGCGUAGGUGGCCAAUUAAGUCAAAUGUGAAAUCCCCGAGCUUAACUUGUGAAUUGCAUUCGAUACUGGUUGGCUAGAGUAUGGGAGAGGAUGGUAGAAUUCCAGGUGUAGCGGUGAAAUGCGUAGAGAUCUGGAGGAAUACCGAUGGCGAAGGCAGCCAUCUGGCCUAAUACUGACACUGAGGUGCGAAAGCGUGGGGAGCAAACAGGAUUAGAUACCCGUGUAGUCC
rnacentral:rRNA from 1 species